GCCGGAGUGGCGGAAUUGGCAGACGCAACGGAUUCAAAAUCCGUCGCCCUCUAAAGGCGUGUGGGUUCAAGUCCCUCCUCCGGCA
rnacentral:tRNA from 1 species